UGGAGUAUCACAGAGCCACGGAAUCGUUUAGGUUCGAAAAGACUUCUGAGGGCAUCGAAUGCAACCUAUGGCAGAACACUACAACCUGAGCAUGGCACUGAGUGGCCACGUCCAGUCUUUCCUUAAACACCUCCAGCGACGGUGACUCCACCACCUCCCUGGACAGUCCAUUCCAAUAUCUAAUCACCCUUUCUGUGAAGAAAUUCCUCCUAAUGUCCAAUCUGAACCUGGCAUAGCUUAAGACGGUGUCCUCUUGCUGUAUCAUUUGUUAUUUGGGAGAAGAGGCUGGCCCCCACCUGGCUACAGCCUCCUUUCAGGUGAUUCUAGACAGCAAUAAAGUCUCCUCCGAGCCUCCUUUCCCCAGCUCCCUCAGCCACUCCUCACAGGACUCGUGCUCCUGACCCUUCACCAGCUCUGUUGCCUUUCUCUGGCACGCUCCAGUCCCUCAAUGUCCUUCCUGAAUUGAGGGGUCCAGAACUGAGCACAGCACUCAAGUUGUGGCCUCACCACUGCCAAGUGCAGGAGAAGAAUCCUACUGUCACCAUUAUCUGCUGAACUAAUAUACAUUUCAGUCAUAUAUGUAACAACAAAACUUCUGCUCUCUCCUAGUGCUAUAUAGCUUUGGAGUAAGUCUGUGAAGGGUCCCAGGUGUGGAGGAACCAAUGUCUCAGGUUGCUAGCAUCUGGAAUCUGUUUUAUCAACUUUCAUAGCUUUAAUGCUACCUCAUUUUCUGAAAGUAUAGCCCUAUUUUUUGGCUGUAACAAAGUAUUGUAGGGAGAAGUUUAUGACUGAUUGAAGCUGGCAGAGCUCAGAAUGUCUGGAUUUGUGGAACUGCAGCUAACAGUGCCUGUUCCACGCAUCCUCUAUGGAAAAGGGCAAGUACUCAUAAAGAACUUAUGAAAUCUGUAUAAGUCUGCACAGCUUCCAAAAUAUUGCCUGAAAAAUGGAGUGAGUGUUAUGCAUGUUUUAAUAUGAGAUUCUACAGCUUCAGGAAGUAUUUCAAGCAGAUGGUCAUUUGUCAUGUCUAUAUAUUUUAAUCCCACAUAUUGAAAUAAAUGAAAUAAAUGCAGAUUUGUAAGUAAAAAAGGAGGCAGUUAUGUUGCAUUAGAAACUUGUAUUUGUUUUAAUUAGGUUUCUGUAGAUGAAUCUGCCUACAGAACGGAGACUGAAAUUAGUAAUCAAAAGUAGUUUCUGCAUAAGUAGUUGUUGGAAAAUUUUAUUGACUGAACAUUUCCUCCUUUACUCAGUGCCAAAAAAUCUUAAAUGUUUGUGUUUUGGUGUUGACUUCUAAUGCAUAGUUAUUUCUUUUGUUUUUUUUUAACUGUCAUUUUAUUGUGUGCUGGAUUCUUACAUUACCUACAGAGUAGUUUUAAAGAUUAUGUGAGUGAAAUAGAACUCUGCUGGAGGUAGGUAAUGGGCUUAGAGACCAGUCCAAUUUGAAUGAGACUUGUUUUUAAUCUGUAAGAUACUGCUUGCUGAUAUCAAACAACUACACAAAUUGCUGUUGUUCUGUGAGACCAGAACUCAAGUGGCAUAAACUAGCAUUAUUUUAUUAAUAAAUACACACUCUGCAGCAUAAAUGCUCUAUAGCAAUAUUUUUUUGGAUGUGCAAAUGGUUUUGCAGUUUAGGCAUAAGAUUACAGGUGCAUAGAUAUCUCAUUUAGAAAGCUGAGUGUUAUUACACUGAUAUAUGGCCUCAUGCCUUUUGAAUAAUAAAUUUGAAAUACGGCAGAUUCCAUUGGAACCACUCAGCUCUCAAAAAAAGUGGGAUAAAAGAGAGCUUUAGCACUGGUUUGAGAUAUGAGAGCAACACUGAAUAUCCUCAAUUUGGUCUUGGAUCUGAAUUUGACCUUCAGUGGGCGAGUACACUUUUCAAAUCCCUAAAUGUUUAACCACGGAGCUAGAAAAACAGGCAGUAAAAAUGCCUGCAGACUGUUAAGAUUUGGUAUAUUGAUGUUUAUCUGUAAUCCAACAUCAAACCGAAAAGGGUUUCUGUUAUCCAGCUGGUUAUGCUGGAUAAUCGCAGGGUGUUCUUCUGGCCUCAGUGUAUGAACGAAUUUAUUUUGAAGAACUGUAUUUGUGACUGCCUAUAAAAACUGUUUGAAGAUGAGUUGGCACAGAAUAAAGCUGUUCUCACUAG